rnacentral:tRNA from 1 species
UUAAUCUCUACACCCAACAGGGGGCUCGAACUCACAACCCUGAGAUCAAGAGUCACAUGCUCCGAUGACUGAGCCAGCUGGGCGCCCCCGGAAGGCAGUUUCGUUUGGAGAGCGCCUGCUGGCCAGCGGUUCAAGCCUCCUCAAGGCUGGGGCGGCCUGCGGGGCCCUGGUGCCCUGUGCCAGCCACACCUUCCCCAUGGCGGUGACGGUUUCUCCUAACAACAGCCUUUCCUGGGUGCUCAGCAUGGCUCCGUCCGACGGUGAGUCCACCCUCCUCCGCUGGCCAUUGUCCCUGAAGCCAUGGGAUCCGAACCCCGCGCUCAUGGGGCCCGGAGGCAAUUUCCGGGCAGUAACCCAGGGAGGCUCCGAAGGAAACCGUGGGCGCGUCCAGGAGGACUCACCCGGCGGAAGUCCUGAUGCGGGACGCCCAGGCCGCGAUCCAGGCGGAGAGACCACAAUCGUUCACCUGAAGCAAAUAUAAGAAAUCUGAGGCCACACAGCACUACUGCCUGCUCGGCUUUCAGAAGAAAUGCCGUUUUCAAGACCA